CUCCUACGGGAGGCAGCAGUGGGGAAUCUUGGACAAUGGGGGAAACCCUGAUCCAGCGACGCCGCGUGACCGAUGAAGGCCUUCGGGUCGUAAAGGUCUUUCGACGGGGACAAUAAUGAUGGUACCCGUAUAAGAAGGAGCGGCUAACUACGUGCCAGCAGCCGCGGUAAUACGUAGGCUCCAAGCGUUGUUCGGAAUUACUGGGCGUAAAGCGAGUGUAGGCGGUCCGUCAAGUUGGUUGUGAAAUCUCCUGGCUCAACUGGGAGGGUGCGACCAAAACUGACGGACUGGAGUCCGGGAGAGGAGAGUGGAAUUCCUGGUGUAGCGGUGAAAUGCGUAGAUAUCAGGAAGAACACCUGUGGCGAAGGCGGCUAGCUGGGCUGGAUCUGACACUCAUCCGCGAAAGCGUGGGGAGCAAACAGGAUUAGAUACCCUGGUAGUCCACGCCGUAAACGAUGGGCACUAGGUGCCGGGUCUAUAGACGGAUUCGGUGCCGCAGCUAACGCAUUAAGUGCCCCGCCUGGGGAGUACGGCCGCAAGGCUGAAACUCAAAGGAAUUGACGG
rnacentral:rRNA from 1 species